UGCCCUAGUAACGGCGAGUGAAGCGGCAACAGCUCAAAUUUGAAAUCUGGCUCUCGGGCCCGAGUUGUAAUUUGUAGAGGAUACUUUUGAUGCGGUGCCUUCCGAGUUCCCUGGAACGGGACGCCAUAGAGGGUGAGAGCCCCGUCUGGUUGGAUGCCAAAUCUCUGUAAAGUUCCUUCGACGAGUCGAGUAGUUUGGGAAUGCUGCUCUAAAUGGGAGGUAUAUGUCUUCUAAAGCUAAAUACCGGCCAGAGACCGAUAGCGCACAAGUAGAGUGAUCGAAAGAUGAAAAGCACUUUGAAAAGAGAGUUAAAAAGUACGUGAAAUUGUUGAAAGGGAAGCGUUUAUGACCAGACUUGGGCUUGGUUAAUCAUCUGGGGUUCUCCCCAGUGCACUUUUCCAGUCCAGGCCAGCAUCAGUUUUCCCCGGGGGAUAAAGACUUCGGGAAUGUGGCUCUCUUCGGGGAGUGUUAUAGCCCGUUGUGUAAUACCCUGGGGGGGACUGAGGUUCGCGCAUCUGCAAGGAUGCUGGCGUAAUGGUCAUCAACGACCCGUCUUGAAACACGGACCAAGGAGUCGUCUUCGUAUGCGAGUGUUCGGGUGUCAA
rnacentral:rRNA from 1 species